AAAGAAAUCGUUAAGGGCGUAUGGCGGAUGCCUAGGCUUUCAGAGGCGACGAAGGACGUGGUAAGCUGCGAAAAGCUGCGGGGAUUGGCACACACGAAUUGAUCCGCAGAUGUCCGAAUGGGGCAACCCGGCAUAUUGAAGAUAUGUCACCCAGCAAUGGGAGCAAACCCGGAGAACUGAAACAUCUAAGUACCCGGAGGAAAAGAAAUCGAAGAGAUUCCGUAAGUAGUG
rnacentral:rRNA from 1 species